AGUAAUAUAGGAGGUGUUCACACCUAAAAAGGUUUCCAAAAUGUCUAUGAAGUAAAGAUUGAGGGUAUCGGACCCAGUGCGGUGGCUCACACCUAUAAUCCCUGCACUUUGGGAGGCUGAGGCGAACUGAUCACGAGGUCGGGAGUUCAAGACCGGCCUGGCCAGCAUGGUAAAACCUGUCUCUAUUAAAAAUACAAAAUUUAGCUGGGCAUGGUGGCAGGCGCCUGUAAUCCCAGCUACUUGGGAGGCUGAGGUAGGAGAAUCACUUGAACCCGGGAGGCAGAUGUUGCAGUGAGUCGAGAUCGUGCCACUGCACUCCAGCCUGGAUGACAGAGUGAGACUCCAUCUCAAAAAAAAAAAAAAAAAAAAAAGGGUGAGAGUCUCUUAGCUUUCAAUAAAAACCAAAAGAUACUAAUGUUCACUGGUCAACUGUGCCACAACCUAAAUAAUCCAUCAUCCUAAGGUAACAGCAAUCAGUGAAGCAGUGAGCUGUGCUGAAG
rnacentral:lncRNA from 1 species